rnacentral:rRNA from 1 species
AGCUGGUUCUCUCCGAAAACUAUUUAGGUAGUGCCUCGUGUCUCACCUUCGGGGGUAGAGCACUGUCAUGGUUGGGGGGUCUAUUGCUGAUUACCCCGCCAUAGCAAACUCCGAAUACCGAAGAGUGCAAUCACGGGAGACAGACAUCGGGUGCUAACGUCCGGUGUCAAGAGGGAAACAACCCAGACCGCCAGCUAAGGUCCCCAAGAUUGGCUAAGUGGGAAACGAAGUGGGAAGGCUAAAACAGUCAGGAGGUUGGCUUAGAAGCAGCCACCCUUUAAAGAAAGCGUAAUAGCUCACUGAUCGAGUCGUCCUGCGCGGAAGAUGUAACGGGGCUAAGCCAGUCACCGAAGCUGCGGGCGCACCUUGUGUGCGCGGUAGGAGAGCGUUCCGUAAGCCUGUGAAGGUGUCUUGUAAAGGAUGCUGGAGGUAUCGGAAGUGCGAAUGCUGACAUGAGUAGCGAUAAAGGGGGUGAAAGGCCCCCUCGCCGUAAGCCCAAGGUUUCCUACGCAACGUUCAUCGGCGUAGGGUGAGUCGGCCCCUAAGGCGAGGCAGAGAUGCGUAGCUGAUGGGAAGCAGGUUAAUAUUCCUGCACCGUCGUAUGAUGCGAUGGGGGGACGGAUCGCGGAAGGUUGUCCGGGUGUUGGAAGUCCCGGUCCCUGCAUUGGAGAAGGCGCUUUGGCAAAUCCGGGCGCGUAAUUCAAGGAUGUGGGGCGAGCGGCCUAGUGCUGCGAAGCAAUCGGAAGGGGUCCCAAGAAAAGCCUCUAAGCUUCAGUCAUACGAGACCGUACCGCAAACCGACACAGGUGGGCGAGAUGAGUAUUCUAAGGCGCUUGAGAGAACUCGGGAGAAGGAACUCGGCAAAUUGGUACCGUAACUUCGGGAUAAGGUACGCCCUGGUAGCUUGACUGGCCUGCGCCAGAAGGGUGAAGGGGUUGCAAUAAAAUGGUGGCUGCGACUGUUUAAUAAAAACACAGCACUCUGCAAACACGAAAGUGGACGUAUAGGGUGUGACGCCUGCCCGGUGCCGGAAGAUUAAAUGAUGGGGUGCAAGCUCUUGAUUGAAGUCCCGGUAAACGGCGGCCGUAACAAUAACGGUCCUAAGGUAGCGAAAUUCCUUGUCGGGUAAGUUCCGACCUGCACGAAUGGCGUAACGAUGGCCACACUGUCUCCUCCCGAGACUCAGCGAAGUUGAAGUGUUUGUGAUGAUGCAAUCUCCCCGCGGCUAGACGGAAAGACCCCAUGAACCUUUACUGCAGCUUUUGCAUUGGACUUUGAACCGAUCUG